UAGCGAGAUCCCAUCUCUAUCAAAAAUACUCACGAAACCGGGCGUAGUGGCGGUCGCCUGUGGUCCCAGCUACUGGGGAGGCUGAGGUGACUCGAACGGAUUUGACAUAACCCUCACGUGCAUGGAGAAGCUUAGAACAGUAAUCUGCGGAAGUAAAACAAUGAAACAGCCAGGCAAAGACACACAGAGGCUAGAGUGCAAUGGCGUGAUCUCGGCUCACUGC